AAAACUCUGAAAUGCGAGCAGAGAGUCUGGUACAUUUCAACAUACGACAUUCUGGACUACUUGCAAAAACUGCCUCUGGCGAGGACACCUUCGUAUAAAGAGUCUGGCUAAGUUCCUUGGACUAGAGUUCUGCGCUAGUCCCCGUCAGAAUGAUGCGAACCGUUUAUCUGCUGGCCGUGACUUUGUGUCUGCUGCUGGCGUUGGCGGCGGAGGGGACGGAGGCGCGCCCGCAGUUCUUCGACGCCGUCGGCGACUUCGUCGAGAACGUCGGAGAAGGCGUGGGGAACUUCUUCGAAGGCGUUGGCGACUUCUUCUCAGGAUUGUUUUCCGGCUUCGGAAGCAACACACGUUCAACUUUGACCUCUCGACCUGCUCCACCUUUGACCAUCGAUGAAGCCAUUAACAGCAAUGACCUCAGACUGGUCAUUGACAAAUAAAAUAAUAAAAAAAUCUUCGCCUUAUUUCUAUUGCAUUUAAAUUAACGGUAUUGAUAAUAAAGGAUAAAAACAACUCAUGUUUCGUAGAAAAUUAAAUUAAAUCGCCGAAGAUC